rnacentral:rRNA from 1 species
GGACCCGCACAAGCGGUGGAGCAUGUGGUUUAAUUCGAAGCAACGCGAAGAACCUUACCUGGUCUUGACAUCCUUUUGACCGGUCCGUAAUGGGACCUUUCCUUCGGGACAAGAGUGACAGGUGGUGCAUGGUUGUCGUCAGCUCGUGUCGUGAGAUGUUGGGUUAAGUCCCGCAACGAGCGCAACCCUUAUCUUUAGUAGCCAGCAGUAAGAUGGGCACUCUAGAGAGACUGCCAGGGAUAACCUGGAGGAAGGUGGGGAUGACGUCAAAUCAUCAUGCCCCUUAUGACCAGGGCCACACACGUGCUACAAUGGCGUAAACAAAGUGAAGCAGAGUCGUGAGGCCGAGCAAAUCACAAAAAUAACGUCUCAGUUCGGAUUGUAGUCUGCAACUCGACUACAUGAAGCUGGAAUCGCUAGUAAUCGCAGAUCAGAAUGCUGCGGUGAAUACGUUCCCGGGUCUU